GACGAACGCUGGCGGCGUGCCUAAUACAUGCCAGUAGAACGCUGAAGGAGGAGCUUGCUCUUCUGGAUGAGUUGCGAACGGGUGAGUAACGCGUAGGUAACCUGCCUGGUAGCGGGGGAUAACUAUUGGAAACGAUAGCUAAUACCGCAUAACAGUAGAUGUUGCAUGACAUUUACUUAAAAGGUGCAAUUGCAUCACUACCAGAUGGACCUGCGUUGUAUUAGCUAGUUGGUGGGGUAACGGCUCACCAAGGCGACGAUACAUAGCCGACCUGAGAGGGUGAUCGGCCACACUGGGACUGAGACACGGCCCAGGCUCCUACGGGAGGCAGCAGUAGGGAAUCUUUGGCAAUGGACGGAAGUCUGACCGAGCAACGCCGCGUGAGGGAAGAAGGGUUUCGGAUCGUAAAGCUCUGUUGUAAGGGAAGAACGAGUGUGGGAGUGGAAAGUUCACACUGUGACGGUAUCUUACCAGAAAGGGACGGCUAACUACGUG
rnacentral:rRNA from 1 species